rnacentral:tRNA from 1 species
GGAAGUAGUUCAAUUGGUAGAGCAACGGUCUCCAAAACCGUGUGUUGGGGGUUCGAGUCCCUCCUUCCC